ensembl:lncRNA
CACUGUAAAACCUAACAGUACAUCUUACUAAAAUAACUAAGUAGACGUAACUUAAAUCUCAAAAAUCGUUGGGGUUACUCAUUCACCUGAAUGAACAGAACUUAAGAAUCAAUAAUUGAUGUAAUAACUCUUUUGUUUUGAGUGCUGCUCAAAUAUGGAACAUUUUAAGUCUAACUUAUGUAUUCCAAUGUGUUCCAUUGACUUAUUUAACUUAAGUGUAACUAUAUCAUUUUCAUUAGACUAUAUAAGCUAUACUUUGUGCAAUUCGUUUUUAUUGCUAUCUCUAUUAUUUAUAAUCAUUUCUGAUGAUUAUGCAAUGCCCAAUUAAAACAAAUAAUUACUGUGACAUAAUUUCAAUGAUCACAGUGUAAAGAUUUAAAGUUAAUCACAGAAUAUUGGCAUAAAUAAAUAAGCUUAUGACACACAUUUUCGUUCAACUUUUUUUGAUUGUGUCUCAAACAGCUUGUGUGUCUUUUAACAGGCGCUAGCUCUUUAUAUUCGGGAAACCCAUUUAUCAAAAACGGCUGAAUCCGAAUACUCAUACUUGACUACUAUAUAGUAUGCAUUUUGCAGUACGCCAAAAAAUAUAACGCGUCGGAAUGCUCAGUACGCAUUGUGUAGUACGCAAGACGUUUCCGAAUGCAUGCUACCGCCAAAGUAAACCACGGAGUUCACUACGCUAUCCCACAAUGCAACCGGAGUCUGGUAACGAACGAAGAAGAGAUGGCUGACCCGACACCAACAGAAAGACGUCGUAGAAAGCGGCUCAAACCAAAGUUGCAGGUAUUGAGAAAUGAACUGGAGUAAAUUAUCAAGAUCUUUUUUGUUUUUUUAUUGUUCCUGAUAAGUAGUUCUUAAAAAUUCAAAAAAUCACAACCUUUCGGUCAAUGUUCAGAGGGACUGAAGCUUUGUGAUUUUUUUCUAAUUAGUGAUACUUGGCGACUCCUACCCCCGGGGAGUCUGGGUAUUCAUAAUGUUUGGGGAAAAGUGGUUUUAUUGUCUUUGUAUAACUUGUUGUGUUAUUAGGUUAAGUGGUGUUAACGGGUUUGGGUUCUUUAUUGUUUGUGUGUUAAUAGUGAUGUGUAGUGUGAUCGGGACCAUUAGUGAGAGUGUUGUGUGUGUUGGUCAGUUGUGCCGUGUUUUCCGUUGUGUACGUGUGUUUGAAUAUAGGCAGCUCUCGUGGUCGUGCGGUGUACUAAGGCACGAGAGUUGUGCCGCCAUUUAAACCUGGGCUCCCGUCUCGUCCUUCCCGCGCUGCUCGCUACAGUAAUUUGAGUUGGAUCAGAGAUUGGUGAAUCCAUUGUGUUCAUUUAACUUGAUCGGUUUAAGGCAAUCGGUUUCCUUAAAUGAAUUGAGUAGACAAAAUGUAAUUUUAAGUUCUCGUAACUAGAAUGUAAAAAGUUACAUGCACACAUGUUAUAUACGUUGAAUGAAUUGCUGUAUUUAAGUGUAAAAAGCUAAUUCUUUACAUUUCACUUCAGUAAAUGGAAUUAGUAAUGCUAACUCAUAAUACACAUGUCACAAUAACUCUAGAUAUAAGAGUUAUCUUUACUUACAUAAAAUAAUUGCUGGUACUUAAUUUAUUUGAGUUAGUAAACUUAAAUAGUUCAAGGCAAUCGGUUUCCUCAAAUAGUUUAAGUUGAACUAACUUGUCAGGUUUUACAGUGU